rnacentral:rRNA from 1 species
GACGAACGCUGGCGGCGUGCUUAACACAUGCAAGUCGAGCGGUAAGGCCCUUUCGGGGGUACACGAGCGGCGAACGGGUGAGUAACACGUGGGUGACCUGCCCUCAGCUCUGGGAUAAGCCUGGGAAACUGGGUCUAAUACCGGAUAUGACCCUAUGGCGCAUGUUGUGGGGUGGAAAGCCUUGUGCGGCUAGGGAUGGGCCCGCGGCCUAUCAGCUUGUUGGUGGGGUGAUGGCCACCAAGGCGACGACGGGUAGCCGGCCUGAGAGGGCGACCGGCCACACUGGGACUGAGACACGGCCCAGACUCCUACGGGAGGCAGCAGUGGGGAA